AAUGUCUGGCGCGGUUACAUUUUCAGAAAAAAAAAAUGAGAUAAACCGGAAAAACUCAAAUUUUCCGUAGAAAAAGCGAAGGAAUCUCAUCAGAAACGUUGGAUUAGUACUUGGAAAAAGUUUUGAAGCGUCCGGGAUCCAUCCAGAAUGCGAACCAUCCCCGGAUUUUCUCGACUUAAUCAUGUCCACUUAGAAGCCCACUUAGGGAGGCCCGUUCGAUUACAAGCUGCUUAAAUACCUUAGUUAAAUACCAAUGCAACGAUGUAUUUCAAGCACAUCCACAUGGAUAUUAUUGAUUUAUCCCGUUUAAAUCGACAAUUUCCGUUCAGGCACAAAGAUAAUCGAUGUGUCUAAAGCACAGAAUAGCGGGAUGUCAAGAAACACCACCUCGCUGUUGUGCAAUAGAAUAUGAAGAAGUAUUGUGUGAUUACGUGUAAUUCCACCAGGUAUGACAGCCUGUGUUGGGUGUAUUAUUGAUUUGUAACCUUCCCCAAGUCUUAUAGCAAAUACAAAGUUGUACAGUGGCCAAAAGGGAAAAAAAUAUUAUAGGAAAAUAAAAUAUUAUCUUAAUUUUUUUGAAGAAAAUCUUUUCGGUGUUGCCCUUGAUGACAAUGAUGCACCACUUGGAUCUAUGAAGAAACAUUAGAAAGAGCCAAUCAGUUCAACACAAUAAGUUGUACGGUGGUCAAAAGUAAAUAUUUCUGAACGUACAAAAACUACUGAUGCCUUUGUAGCAAUGAAAAAUAUAUGGGCAAAUUAUUCUUCAAAGAUUUAUGAAUAAAAAAUCUAUUAAUUGAAUAUGA
rnacentral:lncRNA from 1 species